rnacentral:rRNA from 1 species
UACGGGAGGCAGCAGUAGGGAAUCUUCCGCAAUGGGCGAAAGCCUGACGGAGCAACGCCGCGUGAGUGAUGAAGGUCUUCGGAUCGUAAAACUCUGUUAUUAGGGAAGAACAUACGUGUAAGUAACUAUGCACGUCUUGACGGUACCUAAUCAGAAAGCCACGGCUAACUACGUGCCAGCAGCCGCGGUAAUACGUAGGUGGCAAGCGUUAUCCGGAAUUAUUGGGCGUAAAGCGCGCGUAGGCGGUUUUUUAAGUCUGAUGUGAAAGCCCACGGCUCAACCGUGGAGGGUCAUUGGAAACUGGAAAACUUGAGUGCAGAAGAGGAAAGUGGAAUUCCAUGUGUAGCGGUGAAAUGCGCAGAGAUAUGGAGGAACACCAGUGGCGAAGGCGACUUUCUGGUCUGUAACUGACGCUGAUGUGCGAAAGCGUGGGGAUCAAACAGGAUUAGAUACCCUGGUAGUCCACGCCGUAAACGAUGAGUGCUAAGUGUUAGGGGGUUUCCGCCCCUUAGUGCUGCAGCUAACGCAUUAAGCACUCCGCCUGG